CCUACGGGAGGCAGCAGUGAGGAAUAUUGGUCAAUGGACGUGAGUCUGAACCAGCCAAGUAGCGUGAAGGAUGACUGCCCUAUGGGUUGUAAACUUCUUUUAUAAAGGAAUAAAACGAGGCACGUGUGCCUUUUUGCAUGUACUUUAUGAAUAAGGAUCGGCUAACUCCGUGCCAGCAGCCGCGGUAAUACGGAGGAUCCGAGCGUUAUCCGGAUUUAUUGGGUUUAAAGGGAGCGUAGAUGGGUUGUUAAGUCAGUUGUGAAAGGUUGCGGCUCAACCGUAAAAUUGCAAUGGAUACUGGCAGUCUUGAGUACAGUGGAGGUAGGCGGAAUUCGUGGUGUAGCGGUGAAAUGCUUAGAUAUCACGAAGAACCCCGAUUGUGAAGGCAGCUUACUAAACUGUGACUGACAUUGAUGCUCGAAAGUGUGGGUAUCAAACAGGAUUAGAUACCCCUGUAGUC
rnacentral:rRNA from 1 species